rnacentral:rRNA from 1 species
AUUGAACGCUGGCGGCAGGCUUAACACAUGCAAGUCGAGCGGAGAUGAGGUGCUUGCACCUUAUCUUAGCGGCGGACGGGUGAGUAAUGCUUAGGAAUCUGCCUAUUAGUGGGGGACAACAUUCCGAAAGGAAUGCUAAUACCGCAUACGCCCUACGGGGGAAAGCAGGGGAUCUUCGGACCUUGCGCUAAUAGAUGAGCCUAAGUCGGAUUAGCUAGUUGGUGGGGUAAAGGCCUACCAAGGCGACGAUCUGUAGCGGGUCUGCGAGGAUGAUCCGCCACACUGGGACUGAGACACGGCCCAGACUCCUACGGGAGGCAGCAGUGGGGAAUAUUGGACAAUGGGCGGAAGCCUGAUCCAGCCAUGCCGCGUGUGUGAAGAAGGCCUUUUGGUUGUAAAGCACUUUAAGCGAGGAGGAGGCUACCUGGAUUAAUACUCUAGGAUUGUGGACGUUACUCGCAGAAUAAGCACCGGCUAACUCUGUGCCAGCCGCCGCAGUAAGAC